UUAUGUGGCAUAAAAGAAUCAA
rnacentral:miRNA from 1 species